rnacentral:misc_RNA from 1 species
AGAGAGUUGAUAUCAUCAGGAGAUUCGAAUAACGAAGGUCGAAUUCUUAGGAGGAAUAUGAAUGCUGGCUCUACAAGGGUCUAGAGGUUUGCUGUUUUACACCAAAGAAACAUUUUGAGGUUUGCUGCGUAUCUUCGCUUGGCUGCAAUGGAGAGUUUUUACAUUUCCUUUUUCCCAAGCUACUUGAUGUUGUGUUCAAAUAGCAUUUUUGCAAAUUGUGAUCUUACAUGGUCUGAAAUAUUGCAUUUGCAAAGCAAAAUAGGAACUCCUAGCAGAUGAGAAUAGCUCUUUAUUUUUCUUUAAUUCUCUAUUAAUCUUUUGAAUUUUCUUUAUUACAAGGGAGGUUGAAAAUCUG